CUGGAGAAAGAUCCAAGGAAGAAGCCAG
rnacentral:piRNA from 1 species